AUUGAACGCUGGCGGCAUGCCUUACACAUGCAAGUCGAACGGCAGCGCGUCCUUCGGGAUGGCGGCGAGUGGCGAACGGGUGAGUAAAGCAUCGGAACGUGCCCGGUAGUGCGGGAUAGCUCGGCGAAAGCCGGAUUAAUACCGCAUGAGAUCCGAGGAUGAAAGCAGGGGACCCGCAAGGGCCUUGCGCUACUGGAGCGGCCGAUGUCAGAUUAGGUAGUUGGUGGGGUAAGGCCUACCAAGCCUGCGAUCUGUAGCUGGUCUGAGAGGAUGAUCAGCCACAUCGGGACUGAGACACGGCCCGAACUCCUACGGGAGGCAGCAGUGGGGAAUUUUGGACAAUGGGCGCAAGCCUGAUCCAGCCAUGCCGCGUGCAGGAUGAAGGCCUUCGGGUUGUAAACUGCUUUUAGUACGAACGAAAAGCCCCUUCUAAUAAAGGGGGUGAUGACGGUACCGUAAGAAUAAGCACCGGCUAACUACGUGCCAGCAGCCGAC
rnacentral:rRNA from 1 species